GCCUGGCUGGCUCAAUCGGAAGAGCAUGAGACUCUGGAUCUCUGGGUUAUAAGUUCAAGCCUCACGUUGGGUU
rnacentral:tRNA from 1 species